CCUACGGGAGGCAGCAGUGAGGAAUAUUGGUCAAUGGACGAAAGUCUGAACCAGCCAAGUCGCGUGAGGGAUGAAUGCCCUAUGGGUUGUAAACUUCUUUUAUAUGGGAAUAAAAUGUUGCACGUGUGGGGUUUUGUAUGUACCAUAUGAAUAAGGAUCGGCUAACUCCGUGCCAGCAGCCGCGGUAAUCCGGAGGAUCCGAGCGUUAUCCGGAUUUAUUGGGUUUAAAGGGAGCGUAGGUGGAUUGUUAAGUCAGUUGUGAAAGUUUGCGGCUCAACCGUAAAAUUGCAGUUGAAACUGGGAGGCUUGAGUACAGUAGAGGUGGGCGGAAUUCGUGGUGUAGCGGUGAAAUGCUUAGAUAUCACGAAGAACUCCGAUUGCGAAGGCAGCUCACUGGACUGUAACUGACACUGAGGCACGAAAGCGUGGGUAUCAAACAGGAUUAGAUACCCUUGUAGUC
rnacentral:rRNA from 1 species